rnacentral:sRNA from 1 species
UUGAUAAUUUAUCCUUAGGUAUCAUAAA